AACGAACGCUGGCGGCAGGCCUAACACAUGCAAGUCGAGCGGACCCUUCGGGGUUAGCGGCGGACGGGUGAGUAACGCGUGGGAAUAUGCCCUUCUCUACGGAAUAGUCCUGGGAAACUGGGGGUAAUACCGUAUACGCCCUUUGGGGGAAAGAUUUAUCGGGGAAGGAUUAGCCCGCGUUGGAUUAGGUAGUUGGUGGGGUAAUGGCCUACCAAGCCGACGAUCCAUAGCUGGUUUGAGAGGAUGAUCAGCCACACUGGGACUGAGACACGGCCCAGACUCCUACGGGAAGCAGCAGUGGGGAAUCUUAGACAAUGGGGGCAACCCUGAUCUAGCCAUGCCGCGUGAGUGAUGAAGGCCUUAGGGUUGUAAAGCUCUUUCAUCUGGGAAGAUAAUGACGGUACCAGCAGAAGAAGCCCCGGCUAACUCCGUG
rnacentral:rRNA from 1 species